UACGGGGGGGGGGCAAGCGUUGUUCGGAAUUACUGGGCGUAAAGGGCUCGUAGGCGGCCAACUAAGUCAGACGUGAAAUCCCUCGGCUUAACCGGGGAACUGCGUCUGAUACUGGAUGGCUUGAGUUUGGGAGAGGGAUGCGGAAUUCCAGGUGUAGCGGUGAAAUGCGUAGAUAUCUGGAGGAACACCGGUGGCGAAGGCGGCAUCCUGGACCGAUACUGACGCUGAGGAGCGAAAGCCAGGGGAGCAAACGGG
rnacentral:rRNA from 1 species